rnacentral:lncRNA from 1 species
AAUAGUACCUGGUUUGCGAUGAUGGAGUGCAGAGAAGAAGAAGAACUUAACAGAACAAGAAGAAAAGAAGAAGAAGAAAAGGGGGAUAAUAGUACCUGGUUUGCGAUGAUGGAGUGCAGAGAAGAAGAAGAACUUAACACAGCAAGAAGAAAAGGGGAUGUGACUGCUAGGUCAAGAGAAAAGAGAUAAGAGAAAAAGUGGGAAACGUUUUGAGAGUAAAAAGUAAAAGUGAACAUAAGUAAGUUAAAAACAUUCACAGAAUUCGUUUUCCUGGUGUACGAAUUUUGAAUUUUAAAUUUUAUAAAAACAUUUUGAAUCAUAUUCAAAGUUCGGUUUCCUGGAAAUCGAAUUCUUAACCUAUUAAAAAUUGUACUAUAUAGGUAAAUAUAAUAAACAGUAUGCUAUAUGUGAAAUUAA